GAUGAACGCUGGCGGCGUGCCUAAUACAUGCAAGUCGAGCGAAUGGAUUAAGAGCUUGCUCUUAUGAAGUUAGCGGCGGACAGGUGAGUAACACGUGGGUAACCUGCCCAUAAGACUGGGAUAACUCCGGGAAACCGGGGCUAAUACCGGAUAACAUUUUGAACCGCAUGGUUCGAAAUUGAAAGGCGGCUUCGGCUGUCACUUAUGGAUGGACCCGCGUCGCAUUAGCUAGUUGGAGAGGUAACGGCUCACCAAGGCAACGAUGCGUAGCCGACCUGAGAGGGUGAUCGGCCACACUGGGACUGGGACACGGCCCAGACUCCUACGGGAGGCAGCAGUAGGGAAUCUUCCGCAAUGGACGAAAGUCUGACGGAGCAACGCCGCGUGAGUGAUGAAGGCUUUCGGGUCGUAAAACUCUGUUGUUAGGGAAGAACAAGUGCUAGUUGAAUAAGCUGACACCUUGACGGUACCUAACCAGAAAGCCACGGCUAACUACGUGCCAGCCGCCGCAGUAA
rnacentral:rRNA from 1 species